CCCCUAGUAACUGCGAGUGAAGCGGGAAGAGCUCAAAUUUAAAAUCUGGCAGUCUUUGAUUGUCCGAGUUGUAGUCUAGAGAAGCGUUUUCCGCGUUGGACCGUGUACAAGUCUCUUGGAACAGAGCGUCAUAGAGGGUGAGAAUCCCGUCCAUGACACGGACUACCAAUGCUUUGUGAUGCGCUCUCAAAGAGUCGAGUUGUUUGGGAAUGCAGCUCAAAAUGGGUGGUAAAUUCCAUCUAAAGCUAAAUAUUGGCGAGAGACCGAUAGCGAACAAGUACCGUGAGGGAAAGAUGAAAAGCACUUUGGAAAGAGAGUUAAACAGUACGUGAAAUUGCUGAAAGGGAAACGCUUGAAGUCAGUCGCGUUAUUCAGAACUCAGCCUAGCCUCGGCUUGGUGCAUUUUCUGUUUAACGGGCCAGCAUCAGUUUUGACUGCCGGAAAAAGAUGAAGGGAAUGUGGCACCCUCGGGUGUGUUAUAGCCUUUUGUUGUAUACGGUGGUUGGGACUGAGGUUCGCAGCACGCCUUUAUGGCCGGGGUUCGCCCACGUUCGUGCUUAGGAUGCUGGCGUAAUGGCUUUAAACGACCCGUCUUGAAACACGGACCAAGGAGUCUAACAUGCCUGCGAGUAUUUGGGUGGAAAACCCGAGUGCGUAAUUAAAGUGAAAGUUGGGAUCCCUGUCGUGGGGAGCACCGACGCCCGGACCAGACCUUCUGUGACGGAUCUGCGGUAGAGCAUGUAUGUUGGGACCCGAAAGAUGGUGAACUAUGCCUGA
rnacentral:rRNA from 1 species